CAGCCCCCGCCGAGCUCUCGGUGGGGCUGAACUUCUGCGCGGAUUCAGCGCAGCAGUCAGAGACGCGCCCCGGCGCUGAGGCCCCGCAGUGGAGAGGAGCGGAGCGCUGCGGGACGUGGAUGGACGGGCGGCCGCUCGCGGGGACAUCGUGGGCGUGCGGGCUCUGCUGGAGGCGGUGAGCACCCGACCGGGUCCAAAUCCUUCGGGAUAACCCCGCUGCAGAUGGGGGCUGCCCAGAGACGCGGCGGCGGUGGGCCGGCAGGAGAGACUUGAGGGCGCCGCGAUUUCUCUCAUUACUAUUUUCUGUGCUAUUAUUACCGGGAUUGCCUCGAGGUUAUGCCUGAAUUCAAGCGUGCGGUUUUCACAGCCACCUCCUUCGCUCGUAGGCACAGCUGGGGUUUAGGGGGCACUGCUGGCAUCAAACGAGUUGUACCACACGGUACUGAAAAUGAGGAGUGGGCUCCUAAAACCCACCUCCGCAGUGUUUGGGGAGUUGGCAUCACUUCGAUGCUUCGAUGCUUUCAAGAACAUCUUUUUCUUUCCCAAAAGAGGUCAGAGUUGUGCCUGUCUGCCACAAAAGGGAGUAAAGGAAAUUCUGUCUGAAAACGAGGAAAAACGUCUUUAUUAUGUGGUUGGCAGAGCACCAGAGCAGGCUGAGCGGAGAGGAUCUUCGAUCUCCUCCUCUGGAGACAAUAGAAGCCCUUCUGGAUGCUUUUCUGUGCAACCCAGUGUAGGGAAUAGCAGGGUUUGGAGAAGCCGGUCUGCAAAGGUGAUUUGCAACCCCUCCGACUCUGCGACACCGUGAUUCUUCAGUAAUAUUUUCCCUAGAAAAAACAGCACAAGAGAUCACGCAGAAAUCGUCCCAGAGCCGAUUUUUUUUCCUUGCAACAAGACACUGCCAGUAGACUGUCUUAUUAGCACUUCUGCUGUUCAGUAUUUAUCUGCAAAAGCGACGUUCAUCCUUAGGAGCUGCGAGCAUCGCUGCGCAAUGGACUUCCUUUCUGAGGAUUUCGAGGCAGCGCUUACCGAGAGUGAGACAUCAUAGAUCUGUUUUCCUCAGAGCAGCCUUGCUGCCGGGCUGACAUGUGGGAUCUGUGUUUCUGAAAAACUUAAUCUGAACGGGAACUUGUUAGUGACGAGAACUGCAAGCGUUUCAGCUCUUGUGUUAUGAAUAAAACAAAAUAUCUGUGUGAGCAUCACACCAGUUUGAGAAGACAAUAAUCACGAUCGGACCUUGCCAGGAGUAUUUGCCGUUGCAGAGCGACUUCAGCAGCAGGGAGGUUUUGUGCAUUACUCAGCAGCUCUCCUGGCCCGUUCGAAAAGGAGCAGACGCUGAGCUACGGCUGAGAGAGCAAAAGAGCUCAGUGCGAAGGGUGGGAGGGAAAGGAGCGCCCGAUGCCAGGGAGAUCUGCUCAGCGCUGCGCGUUCCGACCGCGCGGCGUGGGCUGCAGAACCGCCUUCCUCGUUGGUAAAUGUGUGUUAUUCUGACGUGUGUGUGUGUGUGCAAACGGUGUGCAUGCACACACAUACGUAUACAGCUUUUAUACGUGGUAUUUUAUGUAUACGCUGUUGUGUUACAUUGUUAUGCUGUGUUGUUGAACGUUUUAGACUCAGGCCAUUCUGUGGUUCUAUCGUAGAAUCACAGAAUCAUAGAAUGUAGGUGGAAAAGGACCGCAAUAAUCAUCUAGUUUCAACUCCCCUGCCAUGUGCAGAGUCGCCAACCAGCAGACCAGGCUGCCCAGAGCCACAUCCAGCCUGUGAGUGAAAAACUUUAUAGCUAACCUAACCUUCUAAUGUCUUAGUUUAAAACCAUUCCCCCUUGACUAUGUCCUAAUAUUCUAUGAUUCAUUACGUUCGAUCAUAUUCUAUUGUACUGCUGAUACAUGAGUAUCACGUACCAUAAUUUAUGCUACAUACUAAGUAACACGUAAUAUAUGGUUUGAUUAUACGAUAUAAGAUCAAAUUUAUUACAGUGUGCAUCAGCGCCUACUGAGAUACUGCAACACCCAGUCGGCAAACCGCGCACAGCCCAUCGCUCGUUGAACGCGGUGUGUGCGGG